rnacentral:rRNA from 1 species
GUAUUAGCUAGUUGGUGGGGUAACGGCCUACCAAGGCGACGAUACGUAGCCGACCUGAGAGGGUGAUCGGCCACACUGGAACUGAGACACGGUCCAGACUCCUACGGGAGGCAGCAGUAGGGAAUCUUCCGCAAUGGGCGAAAGCCUGACGGAGCAACGCCGCGUGAGUGAUGAAGGUCUUCGGAUCGUAAAGCUCUGUUGUUAGGGAAGAACAAAUGUGUAAGUAACUGUGCACAUCUUGACGGUACCUAACCAGAAAGCCACGGCUAACUACGUGCCAGCAGCCGCGGUAAUACGUAGGUGGCAAGCGUUAUCCGGAAUUAUUGGGCGUAAAGCGCGCGUAGGCGGUUUUUUAAGUCUGAUGUGAAAGCCCACGGCUCAACCGUGGAGGGUCAUUGGAAACUGGAAAACUUGAGUGCAGAAGAGGAAAGUGGAAUUCCAUGUGUAGCGGUGAAAUGCGCAGAGAUAUGGAGGAACACCAGUGGCGAAGGCGGCUUUCUGGUCUGCAACUGACGCUGAUGUGCGAAAGCGUGGGGAUCAAACAGGAUUAGAUACCCUGGUAGUCCACGCCGUAAACGAUGAGUGCUAAGUGUUAGGGGGUUUCCGCCCCUUAGUGCUGCAGCUAACGCAUUAAGCACUCCGCCUGGGGAGUACGGUCGCAAGACUGAAACUCAAAGGAAUUGACGGGGACCCGCACAAGCGGUGGAGCAUGUGGUUUAAUUCGAAGCAACGCGAAGAACCUUACCAAAUCUUGACAUCCUUUGACCGCUCUAGAGAUAGAGUUUUCCUCUUCGGAGGACAAAGUGACAGGUGGUGCAUGGUUGUCGUCAGCUCGUGUCGUGAGAUGUUGGGUUAAGUCCCGCAACGAGCGCAACCCUUGAACUUAGUUGCCAUCAUUCAGUUGGGCACUCUAAGUUGACUGCCGGUGACAAACCGGAGGAAGGUGGGGAUGACGUCAAAUCAUCAUGCCCCUUAUGAUUUGGGCUACACACGUGCUACAAUGGACAAUACAAAGGGCAGCGAAACCGCGAGGUCAAGCAAAUCCCAUAAAGUUGUUCUCAGUUCGGAUUGUAGUCUGCAACUCGACUACAUGAAGCUGGAAUCGCUAGUAAUCGUAGAUCAGCAUGCUACGGUGAAUACGUUCCCGGGUCUUGUACACACCGCCCGUCACACCACGAGAGUUUGUAACACCCGAAGCCGGUGGAGUAACCAUUUUGGAGCUAGCCGUCGAAGGUGGGACAAAUGAUUGGGGUGAAGUCGUAACAAGGUAGCCGUAUCGGAAGGUGCGGCUGGAUCACCUCCUUU